UCCCCUAGUAACUGCGAGUGAAGCGGGAAGAGCUCAAAUUUGAAAUCUGGCGGUCCUCGGCCGCCCGAGUUGUAAUCUAGAGAAGUGCUACCCGCGCUGGACCGUGCAUAAGUCUCCUGGAACGGAGCGUCACAGAGGGUGAGAAUCCCGUCUUUGGCACGGACCCCCAGGGCUUUCGUGGUGCGCUCUCGUAGAGUCGAGUUGUUGGGAAUGCAGCUCAAAAUGGGUGGUAAACUCCAUCUAAAGCUAAAUAUCGGCGAGAGACCGAUAGCGAACAAGUACCGUGAGGGAAAGAUGAAAAGCACUUUGGAAAGAGAGUUAAACAGUACGUGAAAUUGUUGAAAGGGAAACGCUUGAAGUCAGUCGCGUCGGCCGGGGAUCAACCUUGCAACUGCGGGGCGCACUUCCCGGUCGACGGGUCAGCAUCAGUUUCGACCGCCGGAAAAAGGCCUGAGGAAUGUGGCACCUCCGGGUGUGUUAUAGCCUCUGGUCGUAUGCGGCGGUUGGGACUGAGGAACUCAGCGCGCCGAAAGGCCGGGUCUUUUCGACCACGUACCGCGCUUAGGAUGCUGGCAGAAUGGCUUUAAUCGACCCGUCUUGAAACACGGACCAAGGAGUCUAACAUGCCUGCGAGUGUUUGGGUGGAAAACCCAUGCGCGCAAUGAAAGUGAAAGUUGAGACCCUCGUCGAGGGGGGCAUCGACGCCCGGACCUGAGCUUCUGCGACGGAUCCGCGGUNGAGCAUGUAUGUUGGGACCCGAAAGAUGGUGAACUAUGCCUGAAUAGGGUGAAGCCAGAGGAAACUCUGGUGGAGGCUCGUAGCGAUUCUGACGUGCAAAUCGAUCGUCGAAUUUGGGUAUAGGGGCG
rnacentral:rRNA from 1 species